CGACUCCCCGCCCUUUCUUCUCGAAUGUUCUAGAAUGUUCCUUCGAGUGUGUUGUGUUGUGAACGACUGAUCAGCCGGCCGCCAGAACGGCGUGACAGUACCCCAGUGUCCUGGCCCUGGCCACGUCUUGUUCCCGGGGCGCGGGCCCGGGCUGGCCGGUCCCACUCUGAUGGGGACGCAGCGGUGAGACCCAGAGACCCGGGCCUGACUGCGGUGCACAGCGGCUGCAGGCCCGCCGUCGGCUGCACAAUCCAGGCCGCGCUGUCGGCUGCACAAUCCGGGCCCGCCGUCGGCUGCACAAUCCGGGCCCGCCGUCGGCUGCACAAUCCGGGCCCGCCGUGGGCUGCACACUCGGGGAGGGAGCGCAGUGGCUCCCCGCGGCAGCGGGCGCACAGCCCCCGGUGGCCGGAUCCGGGCCGGGAAGUUAGCUCGUCCGUGGCAAGGGCUCUUGGAAUGCAUUCCCCCAUGGACAAGGGGGAUGACUGUAUUUGAAGAAGGCCCUGCAUAGUCCAGAAUAUGUCCUCACCUUCCAACCAGAUGAGUGCUAGUGUCACCAACAAAGCUGUGCUUGCUAGAAUUGGCUCCCGGGCACUGGGUGUCGGAGGUGACCAGCCCUUCUACAAUCUCCCUCCCUGGAGACAGGGGCUCAGUUGCUGCAUAGCAGUGGGGACAGAAGAAGGGGACACAGAGGUCAUGGAGAAGUAAGAUCCGCCUGAUCCACCUUUCCGCAGAUAUUGGCUAUAGAUUCUGGAAUGUGCAAUAACGAAUUGAAGGCACUGGAAAGACAUAAAAGCAAGUGGGUCCUGGAAAGGCCAGAUACUUGGAAGGAGAGGGCUGCUGGGGUGAGUUUAUCAUUGUUUUUCACUUUUUGUCCUAAGACUGGGUCACAGCCAGCACUGUGAAGAGAGACUGAAAAUUGAACAGAAACCUCGUCUUAGAUGGGAAAGAGUUUGGGUCAAUUGCAACUGCUAGAAAAAUAAAGAGGAAUGUUGGAAAGGAGAGAGGCAGAGAAGACUCUACAUAUACACAAGGCUGUAGUCCCUGGAUGACACUGGAACUAUGCAAGUGUGGGACAGACUCCUUGGAGGCCCCGAAGGCUGCAAACAGAACUCAGAUGUGCGCUGCCUCCUAUUUCUGGGGAGACUGACUUGUGCUUCAGGCUCAGCCAAGUUAACUGCCUACUUUUUUCAUAAAUCAAUAUUCUUUAGGGAACAUAAUAAAAUGCAGAGUUUCUAUAAUAUAUUGUUCACAAUUUCCAGAAUAAAAUCCAAAAUUACUUGUGAUAUAAAGAAACAGGGAAACAUGAACCAUUUUCAAGAAAGAAAAUUCAAUAGAAAAGAAUCCCAAAAUGACCCCAAUGUUGGAAUAAAAAGAUAAAAUUUUUUUAAAGAUGUAUCUAUUUAUUUGAAAGGCAGAGUGACAGAGAGAGAGGUGGGGAGAGACAGAGAUCUUCCAUUCACUGGGUCACUUUCCAAAUGACUGCAACAGCCAGGGCCGAGCCAAGCCAAAGCUAAGAGCCAGGAACUCCAUCUGGAUCUCCUUCAUGGGUGGCAGGGACCCAAGCACUACCAUUUUCUGCUGUUUUCCCAGGCAUAUUAGCAAGGAGCUGGAUGGGAAGUGGAGCAGUUCAGACAUGAACUGGUGCCCAUCUGAGAUGCUGGCAUUGCAGGUAGUGGCUUAACCUGCUAUACCACAAUGCCAGCCCCAAGAAUUUCAAAAUAGUUAUGUGUAAGCAGGAAAGGGAAAUACAAUAAUGAAAAGGUAA